ACUUUUACCGAAGGCCUUCCAUGUGUCUAACUCCAGUUCUCUCUGUUGCAAGUUAAGCCGGAAGUGUAAGACCAGAAACCAGCCUGCCCUAGUCAAAGAAAGUUAGGGCCCAACCAGCCUCUCCCCAAGAAGCGGGGUAAGGUGGGGCAUUCAUCUCUCUGGACCCUUUUCCCCAGCCUGAGCCAGCCUUUGGGGGUAGGGAGGAGGUCCCAGGGAAGAACCUGGUUGCCAAAGUCUUGGCCAGUUGGAGAAGAGAUGGGUCUCCCGAGGAUACCCAAGCCCAAGCUCUACGCUGUCCCAAGGUUGCUCAACCCUCCAUCAGACUGUUAGGUCAAGGGUGGACAAACAGACCAACCGGGAUCUGGAUGGCCCCUGGGCAGUACUGACUUCCCCUACCAUUCCCACGGCAAGAAAAGGGAGUGAUUCCACUAGCAGACUCCCCUACCCUGCAGUGAGACAGCCUGUAGGAAGCUUUCAGAUUCUCCAGCUGCUCCUCUUCUGAGACUCACCCAGUCUCAUGCCUCCAUUAGCCUCAACUCCCGACCCAUGGCCUGUGGUGAGAGGUGCUAACAACAUGACCUGCUUUCAUCUUGACCUUCCCAGCCCACCCAGAGAAAAGGGAAUCUUGGCUAAAAAAAGGCUGGAAGAGGGGAGAACCCUGGCACUGUGGGUGGGGCUGGGAGGAGCCCAGGCAACCUUACUGGUGAGAAUCUCAUGGCUCUUCAAGGUGAAUAUGAUGAUGAUUUCCCUGGGGUUUCUUUCAAUACUCAGAAGCCGCCCCGAGUUGGAAAGCACAUGCAUACUUGGGGAGGCCAGGGGAGGAAAAGGGGGGCGGCUCACUCUGACAGUAAAUGAAGAAAGUGGAAACAAAUUCAAGGAGAAGGCAGAGCUCCCGGUUUCACCAGAGCCCAACGGUUGGUAAUAAGGAUGAGAACAAUGUGCCUUCACUUCCUGGGAUCAGAACAGCACAUGGCCGCACAUGUACGGGUAUGCAUGUGCUUCCAUAAUCAUAUACUUUCCCAGCUUCUACUCUGCCUGUGGUCUAAUUUCAACUCCUUCAGCUGCUGUACCCACCCAUAAAAUUAUGAGUGUAAAAGCACUUUGCAAACCCUGAUACUCUAUGAAGAAGUAAAAAGUAGUGCUGUAAUUAUUAUCAUUAUUAUGUCCAAUGGUUGAGGUUUCUGCUGCCCACCUGUCAGCUAUGUGAGGCCUAAAGAGAGGGAGGGCUAGGCCAUUCCUCAGCUUCUGAGGUUCCUGGCCCUUUUCCCCUUCCAUCUGUCCAUAGCUGACUGCUAAGCUGGAGGCGUAGGGGAAAGCAGAGAAAAGGUGAUUUACUGGGACACAGAGACACAGGCUGGAAGAGAUAGCAUGUGUUUCCUUAAAAUUUGAAGCAUUUGGCUGGGCACAGUGGCUCACACCUGUAAUCCCUGCACUUUGGGAGGCCAAGGCAAGAGGAUUGCCUGGGCCCAAGAGUUAGAGGCUGCAGUGAGCUAUGAUUGUGCCAUUGUACUCCAGCCUGGGAGACAGAAACCCCCUCUCUUAAAAAAAUAAAAAAAUAAAAAAUGGAA